CAGUAGCCGCGGUAAUACGAAGGGGGCUAGCGUUGUUCGGAUUUACUGGGCGUAAAGGGCGCGUAGGCGGACUGAUAAGUCAGGGGUGAAAUCCCAAGGCUCAACCUUGGAACUGCCUUUGAUACUGUUUGUCUUGAGUUCGAGAGAGGUAAGUGGAACUGCGAGUGUAGAGGUGAAAUUCGUAGAUAUUCGCAAGAACUCCAGUGGCGAAGGCGGCUUACUGGCUCGAAACUGACGCUGAGGCGCGAAAGCGUGGGGAGCAUACAGGAUUAGAUAGCCCCGUAGUCCCUGUCUCUUAUAC
rnacentral:rRNA from 1 species